rnacentral:rRNA from 1 species
CCUACGGGAGGCAGCAGUGGGGAAUAUUGGACAAUGGGGGGAACCCUGAUCCAGCCAUGCCGCGUGUGUGAAGAAGGCCCUCGGGUUGUAAAGCACUUUCAGUGAGGAAGAACGCCUGGUGGUUAAUACCCAUCAGGAAAGACAUCACUCACAGAAGAAGCACCGGCUAACUCCGUGCCAGCAGCCGCGGUAAUACGGAGGGUGCGAGCGUUAAUCGGAAUUACUGGGCGUAAAGCGCGCGUAGGUGGCUUGAUAAGCCGGUUGUGAAAGCCCCGGGCUCAACCUGGGAACGGCAUCCGGAACUGUCAAGCUAGAGUGCAGGAGAGGAAGGUAGAAUUCCCGGUGUAGCGGUGAAAUGCGAAGAGAUCGGGAGGAAUACCAGUGGCGAAGGCGGCCUUCUGGACUGACACUGACACUGAGGUGCGAAAGCGUGGGUAGCAAACAGGAUUAGAUACCCGAGUAGUC